AUCCAGCUGACUAGUCCCAAAUAGGACGAACUGACGCUCGUCAAACUGGAU
rfam:Schistosoma rodhaini strain Burundi genome assembly, scaffold: SROB_scaffold0027061